UGCAGUCGCACGAGAAAGGGCCUCGGCCCCGGUACAGUGGCGCACGGGUGAGUAACACGUGGAUGAUGUGCCGUUCUAUGGGGAAUAACCUUCCGAAAGGGGGGCUAAUUCCGCAUCCGACCGUAUCGUGGGAACGAUACGGUGAAAGCAGGCCUCUGUAUACACGCUUGCGUAGAACGAACAGUCCGCGUCCCAUCAGCUAGUUGGUGAGGUAAUGGCUCACCAAGGCUAAGACGGGUAGCUGGUCUGAGAGGAUGGCCAGCCACACUGGAACUGAGACACGGUCCAGACUCCUACGGGAGGCAGCAGUGGGGAAUCUUGCGCAAUGGGGGAAACCCUGACGCAGCGACGCCGCGUGGACGACGAAGGCCUUCGGGUUGUAAAGUCCUGUGGGGUGAGACGAAAGACAGUGGUUCGAAUAGGGCCAUUGGUUGACGGUAUCACCUUAGCAAGCACCGGCUAACUCUGUGCCAGCAGCCGCGGUAAGACAGAGGGUGCAAACGUUGCUCGGAAUUACUGGGCGUAAAGCGCGUGUAGGCGGUUUCUUAAGUCAGGUGUGAAAGCCCGGGGCUCAACCCCGGAAGUGCACAUGAUACUGGGAAGCUUGAGUACUGAAGAGGAGAGCGGAAUUCUCGAUGUAGAGGUGAAAUUCGUAGAUAUCGGGAGGAACACCAGUGGCGAAGGCGGCUCUCUGGGCAGAUACUGACGCUGAGACGCGAAAGCAUGGGGAGCAAACAGGAUUAGAUACCCUGGUAGUCCAUGCUGUAAACGAUGAGUGCUGGGUGUUGCGGGUAUUGACCCCCGCGGUGCCGAAGUCAACACGUUAAGCACUCCGCCUGGGAAGUACGGCCGCAAGGCUAAAACUCAAAGGAAUUGACGGGGGCCCGCACAAGCGGUGGAGCAUGUGGUUUAAUUCGACGCAACGCGCAGAACCUUACCCGGGCUCGAAAGUGCUGGAACUCUGCCGAAAGGUGGGGGUGCCCGCAAGGGAACCAGUAUCCAGGUGCUGCAUGGCUGUCGUCAGCUCGUGUCGUGAAAUGUUGGGUUAAGUCCCGCAACGAGCGCAACCCCUGCUACUAG
rnacentral:rRNA from 1 species